ACGGAGUUACAAAGGACGACAUUAGACGAAUCAUCUGGAAAGAUGAAUCAAAGAAGGUAAUAAUCCUGUAGUCGAAAAUGUUGUCUCUCUUGAGUGGAUCCUGAGUACGACGGAGCACGUGAAAUUCCGUCGGAAUCUGGGAGGACCAUCUCCUAAGGCUAAAUACUCUCUAGUGACCGAUAGUGAACCAGUACCGUGAGGGAAAGGUGAAAAGCACCCCGGAAGGGGAGUGAAAUAGAACCUGAAACCGUGUGCUUACAAGUAGUCAGAGCCCGUUAAUGGGUGAUGGCGUGCCUUUUGUAGAAUGAACCGGCGAGUUACGAUUUGAUGCAAGGUUAAGCAGUAAAUGUGGAGCCGUAGCGAAAGCGAGUCUGAAUAGGGCGUUUAGUAUUUGGUCGUAGACCCGAAACCAGGUGAUCUACCCUUGGUCAGGUUGAAGUUCAGGUAACACUGAAUGGAGGACCGAACCGACUUACGUUGAAAAGUGAGCGGAUGAACUGAGGGUAGCGGAGAAAUUCCAAUCGAACCUGGAGAUAGCUGGUUCUCUCCGAAAUAGCUUUAGGGCUAGCCUCAAGUGAUGAUUAUUGGAGGUAGAGCACUGUUUGGACGAGGGGCCCCUCUCGGGUUACCGAAUUCAGACAAACUCCGAAUGCCAAUUAAUUUAACUUGGGAGUCAGAACAUGGGUGAUAAGGUCCGUGUUCGAAAGGGAAACAGCCCAGACCACCAGCUAAGGUCCCAAAAUAUAUGUUAAGUGGAAAAGGAUGUGGCGUUGCCCAGACAACUAGGAUGUUGGCUUAGAAGCAGCCAUCAUUUAAAGAGUGCGUAAUAGCUCACUAGUCGAGUGACACUGCGCCGAAAAUGUACCGGGGCUAAACAUAUUACCGAAGCUGUGGAUUGUCCUUUGGACAAUGGUAGGAGAGCGUUCUAAGGGCGUUGAAGCAUGAUCGUAAGGACAUGUGGAGCGCUUAGAAGUGAGAAUGCCGGUGUGAGUAGCGAAAGACGGGUGAGAAUCCCGUCCACCGAUUGACUAAGGUUUCCAGAGGAAGGCUCGUCCGCUCUGGGUUAGUCGGGUCCUAAGCUGAGGCCGACAGGCGUAGGCGAUGGAUAACAGGUUGAUAUUCCUGUACCACCUAUA
rnacentral:rRNA from 1 species